rnacentral:snoRNA from 1 species
UCGCGCUGAUGACUUCUUAGGACACCUUUGGAUUUCUGAUGAAAACAACCUGUUGAAUUCUGAGCGAG